GCUGUCGUGGCCGAGUGGUUAAGGCGAUGGACUCGAAAUCCAUUGGGGUCUCCCCGCACAGGUUCGAAUCCUGUCGACUGCG
rnacentral:tRNA from 1 species